UUACAAAUGCACUGAAAACAAAAAUUUGUCACGUUGACCAGAUUUGAAGUCAUUUUCUUCCGUUCAGUUAGUCAAUAUAUAAUUUGACUAUCUGUUUCCUCAACAUUACCAGUCUCUGGUCAACUUUGACUUGUGACUGGUCAUUUUGUUUAUAUUUAUUGGCGGGAAGAAACAAUAGCGUCGGUCGCCAUUUUUUCCCUGGAAAACUCGAAGUCAGGUGUGGCAUGGACUCUCAACUACCACUGAAUGGACAAACAAAUCAAAAUACAAUGCAUUGUUACGAAUAUAGACAAGAUGAAAACCACAUUAGGUACACGAAGAUGUUACCAUGAAUAGAAUAAAUAAGUUAAUCCAUUUCUGACGAAAACAGCCAAACAAGAAGAAAACAGAACUGAUGAUGAUUUCAUUCCCAUGUGCUAUAUUUGCUAAGGACCUGUGAAAAAGAAUUUGUAAUGAUCAAAGAAGAAAACAACCAGUAAAUAUAUUCCUCUGAGGUAGGAAAACAAAGCAACAACUGAAAAGGUGCAACGAGAGACUGUUACCUGAAGUUAUUUAUUUGAUUGAUUAGAAAUCAUUUACAAACAGUAAAACUAAUUUGCUUGAAAAUAUAUAAAUAUCUAUGUAUGCUAUGUAUGUAGGUGUAUAUGAUCUCUUUUAAAAUUUUACAAUGUUUAUAUGCAAAUCUGAUGUUUUUUAAAGAUGAUCAGUUUAUUAUUUGUGUAUAUUUGGUGCAUGAAAUAACCAUAUUUAUGAAAUUUUAUAAUAAAUAGUUCAAACAUUAGUUGUAUAAUUGUUAUAUUUUGUAUCUGAAGGGCAUUGAUGCGUGAUAAUUAAAAUGAUUUGACGCGCAUCGUCAAUAUGAUCUCCAAUAUCGUCAAAAUGCCUAGAAAUAAAACUAAUUGACAGUCAUUUUGAUAUGAAAUGAUAAUCAUUUUGAAUAUCGGAAUCUAUCAUUAUGACAAGAAUACAGUCAAAUAAAAUCGUUAAAGUGUACUCAUGGUGACUUUUAAUUAGUCAAGGUAGACUAUCGAUUUAGUCAGUAUGAAUUUUCUCGGGUCGUCAAAAUGAGCUCAACAUAUUGUCUAAUUGACUAACUGCACCCUCAUCUGGAGGACAAUCAAUCUGAUUAUUUUUUUAGGUCAUGGUGACUAACUUAAA